rnacentral:rRNA from 1 species
UACGUAGGGUGCGAGCGUUGUCCGGAAUUAUUGGGCGUAAAGAGCUCGUAGGCGGUCUGUCGCGUCUGCUGUGAAAUCCCGAGGCUCAACCUCGGGCUUGCAGUGGGUACGGGCAGACUAGAGGCAGGUAGGGGAGAAUGGAAUUCCCGGUGUAGCGGUGAAAUGCGUAGAGAUCGGGAGGAACACCAGUGGCGAAGGCGGCACCCUGGACCAGCACUGACACUGAGGCACGAAAGCGUGGGGAGCAAACAGG